rnacentral:rRNA from 1 species
UACGUAGGGGGCAAGCGUUGUCCGGAAUUAUUGGGCGUAAAGCGCGCGCAGGCGGUUCUUUAAGUCUGGUGUCUAAGUGCGGGGCUCAACCCCGUGUCGCACUGGAAACUGGGGAACUUGAGUGCAGAAGAGGAGAGCGGAAUUCCACGUGUAGCGGUGAAAUGCGUAGAGAUGUGGAGGAACACCAGUGGCGAAGGCAGCUCGCUGGGACGUUACUGACGCUGAGACGCGAAAGCGUGGGGAGCAAACAGG